UACGUAGGGGGCAAGCGUUGUCCGGAUUUAUUGGGCGUAAAGAGCGUGUAGGCGGCUUGGUAGGUCUCGCGUCAAAACCUGAGGCUCAACCUCAGUUCGCGUGGGAAACCACCUAGCUAGAGUCCGGAAGAGGAGAACGGAAUUCCCAGUGUAGCGGUGAAAUGCGCAGAUAUUGGGAAGAACACCAGUGGCGAAGGCGGUUCUCUGGGACGGUACUGGACGCUGAGACGCGAAAGCGUGGGGAGCGAACGAGGA
rnacentral:rRNA from 1 species